UAUUGACUUGUUACCUGGGUGU
rnacentral:piRNA from 1 species